rnacentral:rRNA from 1 species
AGACCCGAAACCCGGUGAUCUAGCCAUGGGCAGGUUGAAGGUUGGGUAACACUAACUGGAGGACCGAACCGACUAAUGUUGAAAAAUUAGCGGAUGACCUGUGGCUGGGGGUGAAAGGCCAAUCAAACCGGGAGAUAGCUGGUUCUCCCCGAAAGCUAUUUAGGUAGCGCCUCGUGAAUUCAUCUCCGGGGGUAGAGCACUGUUUCGGCUAGGGGGCCAUCCCGGCUUACCAACCCGAUGCAAACUGCGAAUACCGGAGAAUGUUAUCACGGGAGACACACGGCGGGUGCUAACGUCCGUCGUGAAGAGGGAAACAACCCAGACCGCCAGCUAAGGUCCCAAAGUCAUGGUUAAGUGGGAAACGAUGUGGGAAGGCCCAGACAGCCAGGAUGUUGGCUUAGAAGCAGCCAUCAUUUAAAGAAAGCGUAAUAGCUCACUGGUCGAGUCGGCCUGCGCGGAAGAUGUAACGGGGCUAAACCAUGCACCGAAGCUGCGGCAGCGAACGUAUCACCCAAGACAACUUUACGGAGUUGACGAUUGACGGAGCGAAGCGACGUCAAAGCGUUCAUUAAAGUCGAGUUGGCUUAGGGAUACGUUCGUUGGGUAGGGGAGCGUUCUGUAAGCCUGUGAAGGUGUGUCGUGAGGCAUGCUGGAGGUAUCAGAAGUGCGAAUGCUGACAUAAGUAACGAUAAAGCGGGUGAAAAGCCCGCUCGCCGGAAGACCAAGGGUUCCUGUCCAACGUUAAUCGGGGCAGGGUGAGUCGACCCCUAAGGCGAGGCCGAAAGGCGUAGUCGAUGGGAAACGGGUUAAUAUUCCCGUACUUGGUGUUACUGCGAAGGGGGGACGGAGAAGGCUAUGUUGGCCGGGCGACGGUUGUCCCGGUUUAAGCGUGUAGGUGUGUGUUCCAGGUAAAUCCGGUUCACUUUAACACUGAGGCGUGACGACGAGGCACUACGGUGCUGAAGCAACAAAUGCCCUGCUUCCAGGAAAAGCCUCUAAGCAUCAGGUAACACGAAAUCGUACCCCAAACCGACACAGGUGGUCAGGUAGAGAAUACCAAGGCGCUUGAGAGAACUCGGGUGAAGGAACUAGGCAAAAUGGUGCCGUAACUUCGGGAGAAGGCACGCUGACACGUAGGUGAAGUGAUUUACUCAUGGAGCUGAAGUCAGUCGAAGAUACCAGCUGGCUGCAACUGUUUAUUAAAAACACAGCACUGUGCAAACACGAAAGUGGACGUAUACGGUGUGACGCCUGCCCGGUGCCGGAAGGUUAAUUGAUGGGGUCAGCGUAAGCGAAGCUCCUGAUCGAAGCCCCGGUAAACGGCGGCCGUAACUAUAACGGUCCUAAGGUAGCGAAAUUCCUUGUCGGGUAAGUUCCGACCUGCACGAAUGGCGUAAUGAUGGCCAGGCUGUCUCCACCCGAGACUCAGUGAAAUUGAACUCGCUGUGAAGAUGCAGUGUACCCGCGGCAAGACGGAAAGACCCCGUGAACCUUUACUAUAGCUUGACACUGAACAUUGAGCCUUGAUGUGUAGGAUAGGUGGGAGGCUUUGAAGUGUGGACGCCAGUCUGCAUGGAGCCGACCUUGAAAUACCACCCUUUAAUGUUUGAUGUUCUAACGUGGACCCGUAAUCCGGGUUGCGGACAGUGUCUGGUGGGUAGUUUGACUGGGGCGGUCUCCUCCUAAAGAGUAACGGAGGAGCACGAAGGUUGGCUAAUCCUGGUCGG